rnacentral:rRNA from 1 species
AUUGAACGCUGGCGGCAGGCCUAACACAUGCAAGUCGAACGAGUGGCGGACGGGUGAGUAAUGUCUGGGAAACUGCCCGAUGGAGGGGGAUAACUACUGGAAACGGUAGCUAAUACCGCAUACCCUCGGAUGUGCCCAGAUGGGAGUAGCUUGUAGGUGAGGUAACGGCUCACAUAGGCGACGAUCCCUAGCUGGUCUGAGAGGAUUACCAGACACACUGUAACUGGGAAACGGUGCAUCAUCCGACGGUAGGCGGCAUUGGGGAGUAUUUCACAAUGGGCGCAAUCCUGAUGCAGCCCUGCCGCGUGUAUGAAGAAGGCCUUCGGGUUGUAAAGUACUGUCAUCGGGGAGGCGGUACCCGCAGAAGAAGCACCGUAUAACUCCGUGCCAGCAGCUGCGGUAAUAC